UGGGGAAUAUUGCGCAAUGGGCGAAAGCCUGACGCAGCGACGCCGCGUGAGGGAUGAAAGUUUUCGGAUCGUAAACCUCUGUCAGAAGGGAAGAAACCGCACUGUGCUAAUCAGCAGUGCCUUGACGGUACCUUCAAAGGAAGCACCGGCUAACUCCGUGCCAGCAGCCGCGGUAAUACGGAGGGUGCAAGCGUUAAUCGGAAUUACUGGGCGUAAAGCGCACGUAGGCUGCUUUGUAAGUCAGGGGUGAAAUCCCACGGCUCAACCGUGGAACUGCCUUUGAUACUGCUUAGCUUGAAUCCGGGAGAGGGUGGCGGAAUUCCAGGUGUAGGAGUGAAAUCCGUAGAUAUCUGGAGGAACAUCAGUGGCGAAGGCGGCCACCUGGACCGGUAUUGACGCUGAGGUGAGAAAGCGUGGGGAGCAAACAGG
rnacentral:rRNA from 1 species